rnacentral:rRNA from 1 species
AUUGAACGCUGGCGGCAUGCUUUACACAUGCAAGUCGAACGGUAACAGGUCUUCGGAUGCUGACGAGUGGCGAACGGGUGAGUAAUACAUCGGAACAUACCUAGUUGUGGGGGACAACUACUCGAAAGAGUAGCUAAUACCGCAUGAUAUCUACGGAUGAAAGCAGGGGACCCUCGGGCCUUGCGCAACUAGAGUGGCCGAUGGCAGAUUAGGUAGUUGGUGGGGUAAAGG